rnacentral:rRNA from 1 species
GACGAACGCUGGCGGCGUGCUUAACACAUGCAAGUCGAACGGAAGGGCCCUGAUUUUGUGGGGUGCUCGAGUGGCGAACGGGUGAGUAACACGCGAGUAACCUGCCCUUGACUUUGGGAUAACUUCAGGAAACUGGGGCUAAUACCGGAUAGGAGCUCCUGCUGCGUGGUGGGGGUUGGAAAGUUUCGGCGGUUGUGGAUGGACUCGCGGCUUAUCAGCUUGUUGGUGGAGUAGUGGCUUACCAAGGCUGUGAAGGGUAGCCGGCCUGAGAGGGUGACCGGCCACAUUGGGACUGAGAUACGGCCCAGACUGCUAUGGGAGGCAGCAGUGGGGAAUAUUGCACAAUGGGCGGAAGCCUGAUGCAGCAACGCCGCGUGCGGGAUGACGGCCUUCGGGUUGUAAACCGCUUUCGCCUGUGACGAAGCGUGAGUGACGGUAAUGGGUAAAGAAGCACCGGCUAACUACGUG